GAAACGAAGUAGGAUGAAAUACAACACGUGAAAACGUUGGUUGAAAACUCGAUUUUGAAAAGUUACCUCGUAAUAACUCUCGUAAUGCAAUAGAAGAGGUUUAAUAUAAACGGAAGCCAAACAUGAAGUCGAGUUACCUGUUGCAUCGUGCUUGUUUGCUACAACUUCAACGAUCGUGAAAUUUGAAAACAGAAUUUUGUAAAAAUUCUCUUCCAAUUGACGAAGAAAAAGAUCUUUACGAGGGUGACCGAGAAGUUAAUGAAGCGAUCUUUACGAGUCAUUAAGAUGACAGUAUCAACGGUUUUUCAUAAGGUCGAGCAACACUUUUCGUUUUAUAGAGGUCCGUGGAUUGAAAGAAUAUACAUCGUUAGACGUGACGGAUAAUGAAAAAUGUAUUUUCAUGGGUGAACAAGUACGUCGAUGCAUUCAUUAAUCUGCAGCCUGAUUGAGAAAUCAAAUGAAAUGGGAAAUAGUGUGUCAACGAGACGGUGUUCGGUAAAAUUGAUCGCGAAGUCGUUUAAUACACAAUAGAUACUUUGAAUAAUUCAAACGACGUGAAGUCAUUAUAAUUGAUUGAAAAUAAUUCAUUGCAAAAAUUUCGUACAUAAUAAUGGCAAGUUGUAAUAAAAAAAUUGGUACUGUUCUGUUCCGUAUCGGUCAUUAAUGUCAAAUUAAUUAUCAUUUAAUUGAUCAAUCACCUUCCCUUAUUAUUUCGUGAUCCAGCUUCUGUCGAUAAAAAACCGAUAGCACGACACGUAACAAUUGCAACAAAUGACACACGAUUCUUCGUUAUAUUUCACCCUUGUAAGGACACGUUUACUCACC